rnacentral:misc_RNA from 1 species
UACGGAGGAUCCAAGCGUUAUCCGGAAUCAUUGGGUUUAAAGGGUCCGUAGGUGGACAAUUAAGUCAGAGGUGAAAUCCUGCAGCUCAACUGUAGAAUUGCCUUUGAUACUGGUUGUCUUGAAUCAAUGUGAAGUGGUUAGAAUAUGUAGUGUAGCGGUGAAAUGCAUAGAUAUUACAUAGAAUACCAAUUGCGAAGGCAGAUCACUAACAUUGCAUUGACACUGAUGGACGAAAGCGUAGGUAGCGAACAGG